rnacentral:rRNA from 1 species
AUUGAACGCUGGCGGCGUGCCUAACACAUGCAAGUCGAGCGGUAACAGGUGUAGCAAUACAUGCUGACGAGCGGCGGACGGGUGAGUAACGCUUGGGAAUCUGCCUAUUAGUGGGGGACAACCCGGGGAAACUCGGGCUAAUACCGCAUACGCUCUACGGAGGAAAGCCGGGGGACCGCAAGGCCUGGCGCUAAUAGAUGAGCCCAAGUCGGAUUAGCUAGUUGGUAGGGUAAGGCCUACCAAGGCGACGAUCCGUAACUGGUCUGAGAGGACGACCAGUCACACCGGAACUGAGACACGGUCCGGACUCCUACGGGAGGCAGCAGUGGGGAAUAUUGGACAAUGGGCGAAAGCCUGAUCCAGCGACGCCGC